UUUUUCUAGGGAUAUGGUUAAUUAUUGUUUAAGUAUUUAGUUGAAAUUACAAUGAAUUGUAAAAUAUUUUAGUUUUUUGUUCUUCAGGCCUAAAAGCAAGAAACUUAGUAGAAAUAAGUAAGGAAGAGCUAAGUUUUAGUGCAACCAAAUAUUUCAUACUCUCGUAACUUGCAAGUAUCAAAGCCGAUCAAAUAUCUUUAGGUGUUGGCAAAGCUUUAUUAUAAAAAAAAAUUGCGAAAUAAUUUCAAUAUUAAAUUUCAACAUCCAUACGUGUAUCUUAUAAACUUACUUAAUAGGUCAUAUGUAUACUCAAUUAGUUUUACAGCUAUAUCAGCAAAAAUUAUAUUAAAAUCAUCUUCAAAAAAGAUAUAUCUGACAUAUGGGGUUUGUCCGCAAAGUAAUAAGUCUGAUUCGAUUUAAAAAAAUUUAUUGAACCAAUCGUUACAAUUCUUUAUAAACUUUCAAAAUAGGCUCCUUCUGCGUCGAUACAGCGCUGCCAGCGCGAUUUCCAAGCAUUGAAGGCGUGACGGAAGGCCUUCUUCGGAAUAGCCUUUAGAGCCGAGGUGAAUUCUGCUUGGAUCCCUCUGUCGUCACAAAAUGCUUGCCUUUCAUCGGCCUUCCAUGACUCAUCACCUGUGAUUACGUUAUUCAAAAAUUGGGAGUCACUUUCACACAUGUUCAAAUUUUUUUGGCACACUUCCAUUCGUUGCAAUUUCUGGUCGUGAGUAAGCACUUUUGAGACUAUCUUCGUGCACACCUUGCGCAUGUUUAAGUGCUGCGUCACAAUGUCAUGAAGCUCAGAUUUCGAUGAAUUUAAGGUUUGGGCAAUCAAAACUUUGCGAACACGAGUCACAUUGUCGGUGUUCGAGCCGCAGGUCUCCCAGCACGGUCUUCAUCAGCGGCCACUUCCUAGUCCUCGAAAAAGGCCUAGGGCCACCGAAACACACCACUUCUUACUAAAGGAACAUCUGGGUAAGCCUGCUUGAUCAUAUCAAACGUCUUUGUCGUAUAUUUACUGAGUUUCACACAGAAUUUAAUCGCGUACCUCAGCUCUAACGAACAGUGCAUUUUCGGCUUGCACCACUCACAGAAACACGUCGAGCGAAAAUAUUUGUCCAGACUCUCCAGAUUUUCGGAAUUUAUUAAAUUGAGUUGCAAAAUAUCAACCAUACAUCUACAUUAAUUCUAUUAACAUUCAGCGCUAAAUAACAUAAUUUGUAAGAAAUUUUAUGUACUUAAUUUUCUUAAAAUAUCAUGUGUGAUGGUGAAAAUUCGGAAUUCACUAUACAGUAUAUAUUGGGGAAGGGAUAAAAAAAGAUUGUUCUAAGCAAACUUGGCACGCCCACUUUUUACGAAACUUUCAAGCCUUAUUUGUCCCUUACUAAUGCGAUUCAUUGUACUAAAUCACAGUUUAAUGUCUUAUUGCGGAGCUUAGUUAUAACACUUCAUAGGUUUUCUAUUAAUGGCGUUUUGUGUGCGAGCCAAUUGUUCGAUUCCGCCCAUCUGCAAUACCUUCUCUCUUAUACCUGGCUUUCAAAUUGGAUCGUCUCAUCAUCCUGAUCAUUUAUAUAAACAAAUACGGUUUGCACAGACAGACAUUUAUAUUUAUAUUUAUACAUAUAGCCCUAUAUACAUAUAUCUCGAUUAGACUUCUUCUUUCUUCUUCUUUACUGGCGUAGACAACGCUUACGCGAUUAUAGCCGAGUCAGCAACAGCGUGCCAGUCGUUUCUUCUCUUCGCUACGUGGCGCCAAUUGGAUAUUCCAAGCGAGGCCAGGUCCUUCUCCACUUGGUCCUUCCACCGGAGUGGAGGUCUUCCUCUUCCUCUGCUUCCCGCGGCGGGUACUGCGUCGAAUACUUUCAGAGCUGGAGUGUUUUCAUCCAUCCGGACAACAUGACCUAGCCAGCGUAGCGGCUGUCUUUUAAUUCUCUGAACAAUGUCAAUGUCGUCGUAUAUCUCGUACAGCUCAUCGUUCCAUCGAAUGCGAUAUUCGCCGUGGCCAACGCGCAAAGGACCAUAAAUCUUUCGCAGAACUUUUCUCUCGAAAACUCGCAACGUCGACUCAUCGGUUGUUGUCAUCGUCCAAGCCUCUGCACCAUAUAGCAGGACGGGAAUUAUGAGCGACUUAUAGAGUUUGGCUUUUGUUCGUCGAGAGAGAACUUUACUUUUCAAUUGCCUACUCAGUCCGAAGUAGCACCUGUUGGCAAGAGUAAUCCUGCGUUGGAUUUCCAGGCUUACAUUGUUGGUGGUGUUUACGCUGGUUCCAAGAUAGACGAAAUUAUCUACAACUUCAAAGUUAUGACUGACAACAGUGACGUCAGUGCCGAUUAGAUUUAGUUUUUAUAAAUUACCGUUAGGUAGAGAUGCACGCGAGAGUAUAAAAAUUGUACUCUUUAGACUUUUUUGUAAGAGGUAAGAAGCGGACUAUUAAUGAACACUGGCUCGGUGUGAUUGUGCGGAUAAAAAGUUAUCGACAUUCAUCUACAUACGUCACCAACGUUAAUGUUGUCAUCGUGGUUUCUUUUACUCUCUUCUUCUUCUUCUUCUCUAUUGGCGUAGACACCGCUUACGCGAAAAGGAGUCGCCUUGUCUGAAACCUCAUUUGCUAUCGAACGGCUCGGAGAGGUCCUUCCCGAUCCUGACGGAGCUUUUGGUGUUGCUCAACGUCAGUUUACACAGCUGUAUUAGUUUUGCGAGGAUACCAAAUUCAGACAUUGCGGCAUAAAGCAGCUUUGGAAUCAACGAAGAGGUGGUGUGUGUUGAUUCUCCUUUCACGGGUCUUUUUUCUAAAUUUGGCGCAUGGUGAAUAUCUGGUCAUCUUUUACUCUUUCCUUACAUAGUGGAUUAUUAUUGUAAAUUUCUGUGUAACGAUUUGUAUUUGUAAAUUUUAAUACCAUACAUCCUUUCCUUUGAAACAAUUCCAGUCCAUAACAGCUGCAAGUACUCUCAUAUAUCCCGUGGCGGAUCCAGAGUAGAAUUUUUGGUGGGGUGGGGGUGUUAACUAUAUAAUUUUGUACUUGCAACUCAAAGUUUUUUUCUUCGUGGAGUGUCGCUUUUGAUGCAAAUAAUGUAUAACUUUUAACUUUUGGGGAGGGAACUCCCCGUUUUCCUCCUUUCCUCCCGUGGAUCCGCGUCUGCAUAUAUCGAUCACCGACAAUUUCUGGCAUUACAAAACUUUUUAUAAUUUCUUUUCUUUAAUUUCUUAUAUUAAUCAAAUUUUCAAAUUUUUGAUUUGUAUUUAUAUACUUCAGAAUAAUCAAAGAAAAAAUUAUAAAUAAAAGAAACAAAAUCAAAAUAUGCUGUUUGUUCCACACAAAAGACUGAGAAGACCACGACGGAUUUUCCGCAAACGUAACGUGUCACGUUCAAUGGCAACACAAGUGAACGAACUGGAUAUCGAUAUGACAUUUGAGAGCAUGACACGUGCCAAAGACUUCCCGUGCAACGCUUUGCAAACCAAUCUCAUAUAUUUUUGCGCCUCAAAUUAUACAUAAAAAUUCCAGAUACUUUUGAAAUGGAUUUACAUACAUAUCUUAAAAAUUAAUUGAAAUAUAUGUACUGUACUUAUAUAUGUAUACACAUACAUAUGUACAUGUUAGAAAUUACAAAAGUGGAAAGGGAAGCAUAUUAUUAUUAUUAUUAUUAUUAGUAUACCCAGCCCGCGGGUGAAUUUUAGAAUAGCAUCCCCCGAUUUCGGAAUUAAAAUGUGUAAAAUGAUGUACGGAUAGAAGAAGUGCUCCAGAUUAAGAAAAUAUAUAUUUAUAGUUGUUUGUGAUUUAUGGUUUUUGAUAUUUGCAUUAAAGUUCGAAAAGUUCAACUAUUUAAAGUUCGUGGGUCUCCGAUUUCUAAUGAAUUUUACACUUAUGUAUAUUUUUAAUUUUUACACCCAAUACCACUUCACUAAUUCGUUUCUAUCUAUUUAUUUUAUAUUAAACUAGCUGACCCCACAGGCGUUGCCCUGCGUGAAAUUAUGUGUUUUGAAAUGAAAAGAAAGUUGAAUUUAUAUAGCGUUGAAAAUCAUUUAUUUGAUAUUUUUCUACAUUUCUUUUUUUUUUCAAUGUAGCGUAAUUUGUUUCGGUGUGUAAGUGUACAGGGAGGAUGGUUUUUCAACUUGUGAACACGCCACGUAUAGCUGGCCGUGUGAAAAACAUGGCAUUUCCAGAUUUAUGCCACACACUUCUAGCGACUUUCCUUGUGUUCUGUUGAUUGCCAUCCCAAAUGCAAUUUUCCCUGAAAACUGAAUAGGUUUGAACUGAAAUCGCAAAGAAAUUCGUGAAAUCAAGCAUUCUGCCCCCUUGUAUUCGAUAGCUGCGGCGCAUGAAGAUUGGGAAACAUAAUAAUGACAGAUCCGGCGGUAUACCAAGCCUCUCCAAAGAAUUUAGAAAUUCCACUGGAUAAUUCAGGGCUUCGUAUUCAUUGUCAAGACGAUCGAUCGAUUUGUAUAAGCGCAAACCUCCCGGAAUUUGACAUAGAAUCUUCUAGUUUAAGUCAUUAAAAUCGGUAUUUUUGGCUGCUAAAAUUGCGCGUGCACUCAAGAAAUCGUAGUUGCGAUAAUUUGGUCAAUGUUCGGAUAAAUAUUCGUGAUGAGUUCAUCUUUCGUUGAAGUGAAUUGACAAAAGCCAGGUGGAAUUGAUAUCAAACCACUGGAAGUAUCAACCAGAUUUUGCCUAUUUCCAAUUCUUAUCGAAUACGAUGUAAAAUGUCCUCGGCAAUGUCAUUUUUGUUCGUAUACCAUAAUUGACGCGGAUUUGGAGACAGAUAUGUCGAAAAUAAUGUCAUCGCGAAAAGUGUGCGAACUUCAGUUUCAUGUGAAGUAGCUAUCGAAGCGUCCAUCGUUUGAUUCCAUUGAUUAUCAUGUUCCAGCAAUUGUAAUUGCUGGCAUGCUUCUCAAAAAGUCGCACACACCGUACCAUUCACAGUACGCAAUGACUCAAUUGAAAUUGAACCACGUACAUUUAUCAUUAGCAACCUAAAGUAGAAGCAAUUGUCGUUUUUCGGGUUGGAUUGUGUAAAUUCGUCCUAAGGCAUUAGUUGAGAACACACCUGCCUGUCAAUCUACUGGUUGGCCUUGCUUUCUGCGUAACUGUUUCUUCGACGAUGCAUUCCACGUAUAGCAAACGGAUCACUGACGCAAGUUGAGAAAAAAUUCAUCAAUGUAAAUUUUGUUGUUGGAAGUGUUUCCGCUGGCUAUACUGUAUUCUAAGGGUUGAAAUACAUCCAUUGGACUUCUCCAAAUGAACUGCGAGACCCACAACAGUCGGAAAACGUCCAUGAAUUUCAAAAGUAAAUCUAUACUAAUAUUAUAAAGCUGAAGACUUUGUUUGUUUGAACGCGCUAAUCUCCGAAACUACUGGUUCGAAUUGAAUAAUUCUUUUUGUGUUGGAUAGUCCAUUUAUUGAGGAAGGCUAUAGGCUAUAUAGCAUCACGUUGCGACUAAUAGCGAAGAAACAGUGGUAAAUGUGUAAAAAACGCGGGAAAUUAUUUAUCUUUGAGGGCUUCCGUUCCUUGCGCUGCGAAAGCGGUUCAAGAUACACAAAAGUUAUGUAUGAAAGAAUUAUUUAUCUUUUAAUGAUCUAAAAAAAGUCCGUGAGUACCGUUUUUGUGAUAACUAAUUUGUAGAGUUUAGAGUUGUAUUAACAUAAUAAUAUUAAUUUCUCUAUAUUUAUUGUUAUUUUCUUCUGUCGUUACACGCAGUAUAAAACUCUUCAAAUUUUUUAGGUAAUCCGUAAUUUUUUGUGGUUAGCAGUCAUUUUAUUAUUUUAGAUCUUACUCGCUGAUUUUAAUUCAUACUCUGCUUUUCUUAGAAAAUGCCACGGAAGCGGAAAUCUGGUUUAUCCAAAAUGGCAUGGUAGUUUUAUUGACUGGUGAUUUCCGUCAAACCCUCCCAGUGAUUCAGAGGGGAACACCAGCAGAUGAAAUUCAAGCGUGAAUUAAAUCAUCACGCUUAUGGUCGACAGUUGAAAAACUCCGCCUGAAAACGAAUAUGAGAGUGCAUCUUCAUAAUGACGUGGAUUCAGGACUUUACGCAGAAAUGUUGUUGAAUAUUGGUGAUGGUUGUUUAGAUGUUGACGUUGAAGGCUACAUAUUACUGUCAAGAGAAUUUUGUAAUUUAGUAGAAAGUGAUGUGGAUUUCAUUACUAAUGUUUUUCCGGAAUUGCGACAAAGUUUGUGUAGUGAUCAGUGGUUGUGUGCAAGAGCAAUAUUAGCACCAAGAAAUUAAAUUUUUAAUAGGAUCAACACUGAUAUUUUAAACGAGGUUCAGGGAAAAAUUAAGGAAUAUUUGUCAAUGGAUACAAUUAUAGAUACGGAACUAAGUACUUCAUAUCCUGUAGAGUUUUUAAAUUCACUUGAACUAUCGGGUGUACCGUCACAUAAACUUCAAUUGAAACUAAAUGUACAAAUAAUGCUUAUGCGAAAUCUAGAUGCUCCUCUGCUAUGUAAUGGAACAAAGCUUCGGAUAACAAAAUUGGGACAGAACAUACUUGGUGGCACUAUUAUAACAGGUGUCGGUAAGGGAAAUAGUGUUAUAAUACCUCGGAUACCAAUUGUUCCCACUGACUUUCCAUUCAAAUUUAAAAGGGUUCAGUUUCCCGUCAAGCUUAGCUUUGCUGUUACUAUAAAGAAGGCACAAGGACAAGCAUUACAGGUAGCAGGAGUGCAUUUAGAAAACCCAUGCUUCUCUCAUAGUCAACUUUAUGUAGCCUGUUCACGUGUAUCUAAUGCCCAGAAUUUGCACAUAUUUGCACCCGACGGGAAAACUUAUAACAUGGUCUACAAAAAUAUACUAGAUUAACACUCUGUAUUUUAUUUUUUUAAAUUGUUAGAAUUCAGAAUUAUUUAUUUUUGUUACGGUGAAAUAUAUUUUAACAUUUUUUGUUGCAUUUCAAUACGCAUAUUUUAAGGUGUUGAAACUUCAUUGUCUGUAGUAAUUUUUAAAAAUUGUUGAUCUCAGCCAAGCAAUGAAAUUUAGUUAUCAUUUUGA